rnacentral:rRNA from 1 species
CUACGGGGCGCUGCAGUGGGGAAUAUUGCACUAUGGGCGCAAGCCUGAUGCAGCCAUGCCGCGUGUAUGAAGAAGGCCUUCGGGUUGUAAAGUACUUUCAGCGGGGAGGAAGGGAGUAAAGUUAAUACCUUUGCUCAUUGACGUUACCCGCAGAAGAAGCACCGGCUAACUCCGUGCCAGCAGCCGCGGUAAUACGGAGGGUGCAAGCGUUAAUCGGAAUGACUGGGCGUAAAGCGCACGCAGGCGGGUUUGUUAAGUCAGAUGUGAAAUCCCCGGGCUCAACCUGGGAACUGCAUCUGAUCCUGGCAAGCUUGAGUCUCGUAGAGGGGGGUAGAAUUCCAGGUGUAGCGGUGAAAUGCGUAGAGAUCUGGAGGAAUACCGGUGGCGAAGGCGGCCCCCUGGACGAAGACUGACGCGCAGGUGCGAAAGCGUGGGGAGCAAACAGGAUUAGAUACCCCAGUAGUC